rnacentral:lncRNA from 1 species
AGAUAGUAGAUCUUUAUCUAUAAGUCUCAGGCAAGGGUAAUGCAUUAGAAAGGGCUACAAGACUCGGGUACACACAACUAAGCCUUAGGGCAGGCUUAUGUUCCCGCAGUAGUAAAAGACCAGUCGAUGCACAGGUAACCCUUGGGCACAACUAACACCAUAGAUGCACAACAAAUGCCAAAUUACACUAGACUAAGCCUCGACCAAGGCUUAGACACAUGCAGUAGUAAAUUUGAAAAAAGUCGCGCUUUCUAAAUAACAAAGGACAUCCUAUUGCAUCGGGAAAAGGAAACUGAGAAUCAAGGAAGAGAUGAUUUUGAAAAGCUAGAAGGAAACCGAGAUCAUUUGGAAAGAUUCCUAUCUUUGCAAAAAGAAAACCCUAAGCUUCUUGGGUUUAAAAGGAGUAAAAAAUUAUAGAAAAGGGGAUCAUCCUGGCCCUCACGCAU